rnacentral:rRNA from 1 species
UCUCCUGGAAACGGGUGGUAAUGCCGGAUGUUCCACAUGAGCGCAUGCGAGUGUGGGAAAGGCUUUUUGCGGCAUGGGAUGGGGUCGCGUCCUAUCAGCUUGUUGGUGGGGUAACGGCCUACCAAGGCGUUGACGGGUAGCCGGCCUGAGAGGGCGACCGGCCACAUUGGGACUGAGAUACGGCCCAGACUCCUACGGGAGGCAGCAGUGGGGAAUAUUGCACAAUGGGCGCAAGCCUGAUGCAGCGACGCCGCGUGCGGGAUGGAGGCCUUCGGGUUGUAAACCACUUUUGUUCAAGGGCAAGGCACGGUUUCGGCCGUGUUGAGUGGAUUGUUCGAAUAAGCACCGGCUAACUACGUGCCAGCAGCCGCGGUAAUACGUAGGGUGCAAGCGUUAUCCGGAUUUAUUGGGCGUAAAGGGCUCGUAGGCGGUUCGUCGCGUCCGGUGUGAAAGUCCAUCGCUUAACGGUGGAUCCGCGCCGGGUACGGGCGGGCUUGAGUGCGGUAGGGGAGACUGGAAUUCCCGGUGUAACGGUGGAAUGUGUAGAUAUCGGGAAGAACACC